rnacentral:rRNA from 1 species
GCAGUCGAACGCGUUGGCCCAAUUGAUUGAUGGUGCUUGCACCUGAUUGAUUUUGGUCGCCAACGAGUGGCGGACGGGUGAGUAACACGUAGGUAACCUGCCCAGAAGCGGGGGACAACAUUUGGAAACAGAUGCUAAUACCGCAUAACAGCGUUGUUCGCAUGAACAACGCUUAAAAGAUGGCUUCUCGCUAUCACUUCUGGAUGGACCUGCGGUGCAUUAGCUUGUUGGUGGGGUAACGGCCUACCAAGGCGAUGAUGCAUAGCCGAGUUGAGAGACUGAUCGGCCACAAUGGGACUGAGACACGGCCCAUACUCCUACGGGAGGCAGCAGUAGGGAAUCUUCCACAAUGGGCGCAAGCCUGAUGGAGCAACACCGCGUGAGUGAAGAAGGGUUUCGGCUCGUAAAGCUCUGUUGUUAAAGAAGAACACGUAUGAGAGUAACUGUUCAUACGUUGACGGUAUUUAACCAGAAAGUCACGGCUAACUACGUGCCAGCAGCCGCGGUAAUACGUAGGUGGCAAGCGUUAUCCGGAUUUAUUGGGCGUAAAGAGAGUGCAGGCGGUUUUCUAAGUCUGAUGUGAAAGCCUUCGGCUUAACCGGAGAAGUGCAUCGGAAACUGGAUAACUUGAGUGCAGAAGAGGGUAGUGGAACUCCAUGUGUAGCGGUGGAAUGCGUAGAUAUAUGGAAGAACACCAGUGGCGAAGGCGGCUACCUGGUCUGCAACUGACGCUGAGACUCGAAAGCAUGGGUAGCGAACAGGAUUAGAUACCCUGGUAGUCCAUGCCGUAAACGAUGAGUGCUAGGUGUUGGAGGGUUUCCGCCCUUCAGUGCCGGAGCUAACGCAUUAAGCACUCCGCCUGGGGAGUACGACCGCAAGGUUGAAACUCAAAGGAAUUGACGGGGGCCCGCACAAGCGGUGGAGCAUGUGGUUUAAUUCGAAGCUACGCGAAGAACCUUACCAGGUCUUGACAUCUUGCGCCAACCCUAGAGAUAGGGCGUUUCCUUCGGGAACGCAAUGACAGGUGGUGCAUGGUCGUCGUCAGCUCGUGUCGUGAGAUGUUGGGUUAAGUCCCGCAACGAGCGCAACCCUUGUUACUAGUUGCCAGCAUUAAGUUGGGCACUCUAGUGAGACUGCCGGUGACAAACCGGAGGAAGGUGGGGACGACGUCAGAUCAUCAUGCCCCUUAUGACCUGGGCUACACACGUGCUACAAUGGACGGUACAACGAGUCGCGAACUCGCGAGGGCAAGCAAAUCUCUUAAAACCGUUCUCAGUUCGGACUGCAGGCUGCAACUCGCCUGCACGAAGUCGGAAUCGCUAGUAAUCGCGGAUCAGCAUGCCGCGGUGAAUACGUUCCCGGGCCUUGUACACACCGCCCGUCACACCAUGAGAGUUUGUAACACCCAAAGUCGGUGGGGUAACCUUUUAGGAGCCAGCCGCCUAAG